UAGGGAAUCUUCCGCAAUGGGCGAAAGCCUGACGGAGCAACGCCGCGUGAGUGAUGAAGGUCUUCGGAUCGUAAAACUCUGUUAUUAGGGAAGAACAAAUGUGUAAGUAACUAUGCACGUCUUGACGGUACCUAAUCAGAAAGCCACGGCUAACUACGUGCCAGCAGCCGCGGUAAUACGUAGGUGGCAAGCGUUAUCCGGAAUUAUUGGGCGUAAAGCGCGCGUAGGCGGUUUUUUAAGUCUGAUGUGAAAGCCCACGGCUCAACCGUGGAGGGUCAUUGGAAACUGGAAAACUUGAGUGCAGAAGAGGAAAGUGGAAUUCCAUGUGUAGCGGUGAAAUGCACAGAGAUAUGGAGGAACACCAGUGGCGAAAGCGACUUUCUGGUCUGUAACUGACGCUGAUGUGCGAAAGCGUGGGGAUCAAACAGG
rnacentral:rRNA from 1 species